rnacentral:rRNA from 1 species
ACUCCUGCGGGAGGCAGCAGUAGGGAAUCUUCCACAAUGGGUGCAAACCUGAUGGAGCAAUGCCGCGUGAGUGAAGAAGGUCUUCGGAUCGUAAAGCUCUGUUGUUAGAGAAGAACACGUGCUAGGUAACUACUAGCGCCUUGACGGUAUCUAACCAGAAAGUCACGGCUAACUACGUGCCAGCAGCCGCGGUAAUACGUAGGUGACAAGCGUUGUCCGGAUUUAUUGGGCGUAAAGGGAGCGCAGGCGGUCUGUUUAGUCUAAUGUGAAAGCCCACGGCUUAACCGUGGAACGGCAUUGGAAACUGACAGACUUGAAUGUAGAAGAGGAAAAUGGAAUUCCAAGUGUAGCGGUGGAAUGCGUAGAUAUUUGGAGGAACACCAGUGGCGAAGGCGAUUUUCUGGUCUAACAUUGACGCUGAGGCUCGAAAGCGUGGGGAGCGAACAGGAUUAGAUACCCCUGUAGUCCCAUGA